GUUUUCUUAGCUCCUAGAUUUUGAGAAGACAUCUCCUGCCACAGUCAGAUCUACCUAUGAAGGUUCCUGUACAAAUGAGAAUACACCAAAUGAGGUAAUGGAUGAGAGAGGUCCCUGAAAGACUCUGCUGUCUGGGCUUUGGGAAAAGCAGACAAAAACCAUUCCAUUCUUUAGGGCUUUUCAUUCCAGUCAAAAGCAAAGUGGCCUGACCUUGCUCCAGAGCAAGUGCCCAUAUCUGUCUUCAUGUGCAGAAUUUCUUUUGCCCAUCAGUACUCUGACACCACAGAUGUGUAAUUUUCUGUCAAGUGAAGGACAUGCUGUUUGCCAGAGGUGUUGCUUCUCUACUAAAACAGACUAAAAGCCAUGGUGUAAUGAACUUGCUUGACUAACCACAGAUCUACCUUAGGAAGAAAGGUCUAUAUUUAG